UACAGAGGGGGCAAGCGUUGUUCGGAAUUACUGGGCGUAAAGGGCUCGUAGGUGGCCAACUAAGUCAGACGUGAAAUCCCCAGGCUCAACUUGGGAACUGCGUCUGAUACUGGAUGGCUUGAAUCCGGGAGAGGGAUGCAGAAUUCCAGGUGUAGCGGUGAAAUGCGUAGAUAUCUGGAGGAAUACCGGUGGCGAAGGCGGCAUCCUGGACCGGCAUUGACACUGAUGAGCGAAAGCCAGGGGAGCAAACGGG
rnacentral:rRNA from 1 species